CAGUUCGAUUUUAACACUCCCAAAAUGUUUUCGCGUCUUCGUUUAUUUUUCUUACUGGGAAUAUCCUUCUUCAGUUUCAGUUUUUCAUAUAGAGUCAUGGAUAUGCAUGAUGAUUUUCCAACUUGUCCAUCGAAUGAUAAGGAACUCGAGGAAAUGAAAACAAUAGAAAAACGCAAAACUUUAUAUAAUGUUAAAGAAGUCAACAGUAACGUGGAUCAUAAAACGCAACAAAAUAAAAAUAUGCCAAGCAAUUGGCUGAUGCAGAUCAUUAAAAUAAUAACAAUACCCAUGGAAACACAUUUCGAAAACGGAAGACACCAAGAAAAUCGCAUCAACGGAUUACCCAAGCGAAGAGGUCCUAUCUCAGAGCCACAACCAAAACGCGAGCAAAACCAAACCGAAAGGAGUCCCAAGAUUGUGCUCCUAAUAAAAGCAAACCCUCAUGAAAAAGAAAUCCGUAUAAGAAAGAGAAAUCCGCUUUUAUAUCAUCUAAUGUGAUGCUUAUUUUCCAACCAAUUAAGCAUAGACAUUUUUUAAGGAAACCAAUGAGUUGUUAUGUUAUGUCUCUAUAUUUCAUUUUCAUACAUAUAACCACAUGUGCUAUGACACACCCUCAUCAUCAAAGCUCAUAUAGUUUUAAAGAUCUAUUACCCCUAAUUAGGGAAACUUUGUACCAAACACAUGUUCCCUGCUCGGAAAGCAAUAAAUUAAAUCAUUUCCCUGCUGUUGCGGCAAAGGAUUUAAAACUUCGAAACACAUUCAAGACAUUUUCCAGCCAUAAAUAAUGCUCUUACAUACAUACUCGUAUGUACAUAUAAAAAAGCUCUUCUUUAUGCCACUUGAUUGCGGUUCACAGUAGAGCCCCAUAUCCAUGCCCAACCAUAAAAAAUUAUAUUAUAUGCAUGACCCUAAAUUAAUCUAGCGAAACCUUUUCCAUUUUUGUGACAAACUUCAACCCUGAUGCUGUGGGAGACAUCAAAGCCAGUCGAGUAUGACAGACGAAGUUAUUUGAAUAUGAACGUAAAUGUCAUAGAGAACAAAUUAAAUUUGGCUUAUGGAUGUGGCCGGGCAGGAAGCUACAAAAAGCCAAGUACAUGUAUCCAUGUGUACAUUUAUGUUUUAUGGAAGAAAUCUUUUUUUUAUUU
rnacentral:lncRNA from 1 species